rnacentral:ncRNA from 1 species
GCUUAUCAAGAGCGGCUGAGGGGACAGGCCCUGUGAAGCCCGACAACCUGCGCGCGAGCGUAAGGUGCCAAAUCCUGCGGGAAACCGAAAGAUAAGG